CCUACGGGUGGCAGCAGUGAGGAAUAUUGGUCAAUGGACGAGAGUCUGAACCAGCCAAGUAGCGUGAAUGAUGACUGCCCUAUGGGUUGUAAACUUCUUUUAUAUGGGAAUAAAACGUUCCACGUGUGGGAGUUUGUAUGUACCAUAUGAAUAAGGAUCGGCUAACUCCGUGCCAGCAGCCGCGGUAAUACGGAGGAUCCGAGCGUUAUCCGGAGUUAUUGGGUUUAAAGGGAGCGUAGGUGGAUUGUUAAGUCAGUUGUGAAAGUUUGCGGCUCAACCGUAAAAUUGCAGUUGAAACUGGCAGUCUUGAGUACAGUAGAGGUGGGUGGAAUUCGUGGUGUAGCGGUGAAAUGCUUAGAUAUCACGAAGAACUCCGAUUGCGAAGGCAGUUCACUGGACUGCAACUGACACUGAGGCUCGAAAGUGUGGGUAUCAAACAGGAUUAGAUACCCCAGUAGUC
rnacentral:rRNA from 1 species